CUCAAAGUCAGAUGUUCCGAGUUGACCAACUUCUGCAGUAUGCAAUACAAGAAUUAUUCACCACUUCUCCACCAUUUGGAUGGAAUGCAAUCAAAGUAGUGACACCAGCUACAAUACUUGUUUAUGUCAAUGCCAUGCAGAACUGCCAUUAUAAUUCCUGCAAGC